CGCCUGAGCGCGGCCGCCGCCGUCCGGGCUUGGCUGGGGGUCCCCGGGGAGGAGGGCGCAGCUGUGCCUCAGUCGGAGCGCGGCGGGGCCGAGGACGCGGGGAAGGGUUUCUGUGGAGAAAUGUGUGUUGUGCGCUCCGAGCCCGAGAAACGGUCUUGGAAAUAAAGCAGGAAUUCCUCUCCAGGCCAAACGCAGCAUGUGAAGAUUUUCACGGAGCGCUCUCUGAAGCGAAACCUUCCCAGGAAGAGGGGGACGGAGGAGCUGAGGAAGGAAUAAAGCCGGAAUUCGGGGCACUGCUUUCUUCCAGCCCCAAUUACAGGGCUGGAUUCCGCGGCUAAUUAGAAUCAAAUGCUCCCAAUGAAUUCAGGGGAAGCAGCGCUACGCUCAACUCGGCCCGGAGGCUGCGGGGAGAGCGGGGCGGCACCGGGCGGCUCGGGGCGCACGGAGCACCGCGUUCCUCUCCCGGUAACGACCGACUGAAUAGCUAAAAAGCAGCGCAGGGAGCAAAAAUUCAGUGCGCCCCAACCGCAACGAGACUCCAUUACCCCCCGGAAUAAAAGGACCUUUGCGCACAGCCGGGGCUUAAUUGCAGCCCCGCCGCCGGGAAUCCCCAUCAGCCCCAGCGGUACCGCACAGCGGAGCGUCCACGGCGCAUUACAACCGCGCAGCGCGGAGAACGGAGCCGCGAACCGAACCGCUCCGGGCGGCAGCGAAGACUCCGGGCGGGAAUGAGGCGCGAGAGCGACGCGGCCCCGCACCGCAC
ensembl:lncRNA